rnacentral:rRNA from 1 species
GCGGCCUAUCAGCUUGUUGGUGAGGUAAUGGCUCACCAAGGCAACGACGGGUUGCCGGCCUGAGAGGGCGACCGGCCACACUGGGACUGAGACACGGCCCAGACUCCUACGGGAGGCAGCAGUGGGGAAUAUUGGGCAAUGGACGCAAGUCUGACCCAGCGACGCCGCGUGCGGGAUGAAGGCCUUCGGGUUGUAAACCGCUUUCAGCAGGGAAGAAGCGAAAGUGACGGUACCUGCAAAAGAAGCACCGGCUAACUAUGUGCCGGCAGCCGCGGUAAUACAUAGGGUGCAAGCGUUGUCCGGAAUUAUUGGGCGUAAAGAGUUCGUAGGUGGUUCGUUACGUCGGAUGUGAAAAUCUGGGGCUCAACCCCAGACCUGCAUUCGAUACGGGCGAGCUAGAGUUUGGUAGGGGAGACUGGAAUUCCU